GUCCUUUUGAUAAUAAUUUAAGGUCUAACCUGCCCACUGAAAAUUUAAAUGGCCGCGGUAUUUUGACCGUGCAAAGGUAGCAUAAUCAUUAGUUUUUUAAUUGAAAGCUGGAAUGAAAGGUUGGAUAAAAAAAAAUCUGUCUUUAAAUAAUUUUAUUAGAAUUUUAUUUUUAAGUUAAAAAGCUUAAAUUUUUUUAAAAGACGAGAAGACCCUAUAGAGUUUUAUAAAAUUUUUAAAAUUAAUUUUUAGAAUUUUAAUUUAAUUUUAUUUUUUUUAUUUAAUUGGGGUGAUUAAAAAAUUAAAAUAACUUUUUUUUAUUAAUCCAUUAAUUUAUGAAUUUUUGAUCCUUUAUUUAAGAUUAAAAGAUAAAAUUACCUUAGGGAUAACAGCGUAAUUUUUUUUGAGAGUUCAAAUCGAAAAAAAAGAUUGCGACCUCGAUGUUGGAUUAAAAUUAAUUUCUGGUGUAGAAGUUAGAAAUUUAGGUCUGUUCGACCUUUAAAAUUUUACA
rnacentral:rRNA from 1 species